UAACUUUGGUUUUAGCACAAGUGUUUCUGAAUUGUCCAAGCAGAAAGAAAACAUUUUUCUUUUGUUUCCCAUCACAGCAUUCACACCACAGCUGGCUACGACCCGGUUGCAGGCGAGAGAGUGGGAGAAACUCCUGUUUCAGAUGAGGAUGGGAAUGAUGAACAUUCAGCAGUUUCUUUGAACGUGGUCAGACAGAGCAAGGUGCCAUUGGAGAGGGAAGGCGAGAUGUCUGGAGAGGGUUUAACUUGCAGCAGAAACUCUGAUGUCAGAGAAAUAAAAGGAGAAGAUACAGAUUUUAAGGAAGAGAUCAUUACAGCUUGCGGGCCUUUGGGAAGUCCUACGAGAAUGUGUGGCAGGAACAAGAUAAGCCUUAUUAAGCCAAGUUACGUAGUCUUGAAUGAUCUCAGGGACGAGUUAAAAGAAAAAUAUGGAUAUUCUUUAAUGAGCUCAAGUCGCGGGAGACUGUCAUUGAACACCCAAAAGGAGAGAGAGACUACUUUCUCUGACGCGUUACAAAUCACUUUGCGUAGUGGUUUAGAAGAAAGCAAUGCUAAGAAACAAAAUGGAGUCCCCAACAUCAAGACAGGGGUGCAAAAUAAGAAUUUAAACAACGCAAAGAUCAUGGAGAUCAGUAGGUCAGAGAAAGGAGUCACUUCCUCAGGAUCGAAGGGUAUUGAUACGGAGAUUCACUGUGCUAUUGAAGAAACCCAAGAAGAAGGAUCACUAGUGGAAAUGGACUCUCCAGAUUUUUCAGGUAUGUGUGAGCAGGGCAUUUUCGCUAAGCUGUCUCUUCUGGAAGACGGGCAGAAGAGUUCCUCAGUGGAUGCGUUACAUAUACCGGAAGUGUGGGGAGUACAGCCGGAUCCUUCCCCUCUCGCCAGCAUGACCCCUGAGAAAGAGCAGGAAAAAAAUGGAAAGGUAGUUCCCAUUGAAAUGCUUAUGAAACACUGGAACAAAACAGAUGGGGAGUUAGGGAAAGUUAACAUAUCUGAUAGCUCCCUAACAGUGGGGUCUAAUAGAAAGGGAUGUGAUUCCAGAUGUUCAGGAGGAAACCGGACCGGUCAUAUUAGCCAGUCCAGCAGAAUUGUUCCAGCACCUGAGAAUACUGUUACAGCUGAGGAUUUUAGGAGAAAGCCAGCGG
rnacentral:lncRNA from 1 species